rnacentral:rRNA from 1 species
GACGUAGGGUGCGAGCGUUGUCCGGAAUUAUUGGGCGUAAAGAGCUCGUAGGCGGCUUGUUGCGUCGGCUGUGAAAACCCGCGGCUCAACCGUGGGCUUGCAUCCGAUACGGGCAGGCUUGAGUUCGGUAGGGGAGACUGGAAUUCCUGGUGUAGCGGUGAAAUGCGCAGAUAUCAGGAGGAACACCGGUGGCGAAGGCAGGUCUCUGGGCCACUACUGACGCUGAGAAGCGAAAGCAUGGGGAGCGAACAGG